ACUUUUUGGCGGGAACGCGAGGAGUGAAGUUGUGUGAUUUGUUUUAUUUUGUCUAUUUAGUGUUUCUUCAGGUUUAAAUGUGUAAUAAUGGUGGUUUAUUAACCGUUUAAUAUCUGUGAAAGUGCACAAAUGUGGGAAAAUGAAACAAAGCUGCUGGACGUAACUUCUCGGGUUUCUCCAAAAAGUCCACUGAAAAAAUCUCAGUAAAUGACCACCAUUUUACUGCGAUUAUAUUUCAUCUCAUAUCAUUUCAUUUCAUUAAAUUUCAUCCCAGUUGAUUAAUGUCUCAAAUUAAUCAUCUUCAUUUCAUUUCACUCCAUAUUAUCAUUUUUCAUAAAAUUAAGAAUUUAAAGUAAAAUAAGACAUGACUUAAAGGUCUUAGUUACCAGGUCAUAAAAUCUCUUAAAAAAAAAAUUUUCCGCCAAAUAGGACUUUUUGGCGGGAACGCGAGGAGUGAAGUUGUGUGAUUUGUUUUAUUUUGUCUAUUUAGUGUUUCUUCAGGUUUAAAUGUGUAAUAACGGUGGUUUAUUAACUGUUUAAUAUCUGUGAAAGUGCACAAAUGUGGGAAAAUGAAACAAAGCUGCUGGACGUAACUUCUCGGGUUCCUCCAAAAAGUCCACUGAAAAAAUCUCAGUAAAUGACCACCAUUUUACUGCGAUUAUAUUUCAUCCCAUAUCAUCUCAUUUCAUUAAAUUUCAUCCCAGUUGAUUAAUGUCUCAAAUUAAUCAUCUUCAUUUCAUUUCACUCCAUAUUAUCAUUUUUCAUAAAAUUAUGAAUAUAAAGUAAAAUAAGACAUGACUUAAAGGUCUUAGUUACCAGGUCAUAAAAUCUCUUAAAAAAAAAAAUUACCGCCAAAUAUUUAAAACGUACAAAUAAUUUAUAAUGUGUUUAAUAACUAAUGUAAUAUAAUUACUUAGAAUUGUUUAUGCCGCUACAACAAUAAAAUUUAUAUUGUUUCAACUGUGGUGUUAAUUACAUAAAACACGACUACGUGGAAAUAAAGAAAGGACUCUAUAUGAGCUCCCUUAGACCCAUAGACCAUCUCAAUUAUAACAGAUUGCUACCGCACCCUCAGAGGAAUGUGUCAUAAGAGAAAGAGGCAGGACCGUCGUUACGAUCAUGCGAGGUCCACCAGCUACUAUUGGAAGUUUUGUAAAGAGAAUUAAUUGUAUUAGGUUUCAAAUGUCACAAGCCAUCAUUUGGAAGCAAUGUAUCAAGUCGACUAUUAUUCAUGCAGCAAACAUUGCACCUGGCAGAUAAAUUGUCCAUGUGAGAUGUUUAUUAAACAAUUAGGC